ensembl:lncRNA
ACCUCGUGGCAUCUUUCACGGGGUAGACCACACGCAGAGCUGGAGAAGGUGAUUACUUAUGCUGCAUGAUGUGAGGAGUGGGGAGGUCCCCAGCUCCUAAACCUAUCACCUUUUCUCCAUCCCACCUGCUUGUCACAGUGACCAAAGUCCACCUGCUUAGCUCUAUUCCUAUGGGCUGAAAAAGCCUUUUGGUCAUCAGGAGUUUCUUAUUAAGAGGCAUGUGUUCAAGGCUUUAUGAGCUAACACCAGUAGAGAGCAGACCACACUAGUGAGGAGGUGUGGAGAGGGGCGGCAGGGGGCCAAGGACGGCUUUGCUUCUCAACAGCUGUGCGGAAGACUGAACUUCGGUAUUGCAACUGGCAGAAGGGGACAUCCUGCUUCCAGAUGCACUGACAGCUUUCGUUCCACACUACCUUUUCCAAGAUGAUCGUCUGAUGAACAGCCUUGGAAGAUAGACAUAGUGUUUUCCUCUGGAGCGGAAGGGCAAACCUGGACGGGGACACACACGCUGGGAGAACACCACGUGAAGAUGAAGACAGACUGUGGCGAUGCGCCUACAAGCCAAGGAAUGUCAAAGAUUGCCAGCAAACCGCCAGAAGCCAGGGGAGAGGCAAUUUUGUGUGUGUAUUUUUUUUUCAACUGAUGCCUGCACCUCACCCAAGUCCAUUAAGAAUCUCUGGAGUUGGAGCCCGGACAUCAACAUUAAACAAUCGCCACAAAACUUCCCAGAGUCUGCACUAUUAUGAACCGUGUAAUUGCAGGUUUGAAGGGAGCUGUCCAGUCCACACUACAGAGCACGUGCUUAAGCCCUCAGCAGGACCCUCCGUCCCCCAAAUCAGCAACCAAAACAAUGAGGUUUCAUCUACAGGAAACAAAUCCAGGACCACCCCAUUUGAUUUUCAGGAUGAGCCCAAUGGCCGCCCCUUCGAACAGCCCAGGAGCUGUUCUGCUAGUUUUAAACCAAGACGUGAUUAGCGGUUAGUGGACCUUGAAAGACAUCUUUAUUUAUGACUCUUGCAGAUCACUUCUGCCUUGAUAUCGAUCUCUUCCAAUCUUCUAUUCCGUCCUUUGAAAUUCACAGAACACAGCGGGGCAACUCAUUGCCUGCAGCAUUCACUUUGUUUAAAGCUCAUUUCCUUUCGCAAUUAAUGUAGUGAUAUUUCAUUGUAAUUGUUAUUUGGUUCACUUUUCUUUUAGACCAGAGGCUUGAAAUAAAUGAGAGCAUGACAUUUUAAAGACAGGUGGCAGGUAGACAAGAACCUAGUUUAAAAAUGAGUUCAAAACUUCUAACAAGGGAUCAAUGCCAGGCUUAAUCAGUAUGUUUAUCAAGAAGUUGUAAUGCUUGAUAUGAUGGCACAAGAAAAAAACCCGAAAUAUCAGAUUUGGGAAUUUUAGGAAGUUGACAAUUUUGUUGUUGAGAAUGGAUAUUUUUGAAAGUAUCUUUAGGAGGUCUCCAUGUUCAGAAAAGAGGAAUUAAAUAAUAUUACAGUUUAUUCAAUGGGUACCGUUUACAUUUUUGAUCUCUUUCCUCAGUUUGAGGCACCCAAUAUUAUUGUUCACUUUCAAGAUGCUAAGUCUGGUAGGGGGCGUAGAGAUGAAUGACACAUCUCUGUGCUCCCGGGGCUCAAAGUCUGGGGGAGGCUGCAAAUUGAUAAGAGAGGGAGCCACAUCUCAGAAGUAGCUGAGGUUCUAAAGUUAGUCCACAGACAAAAACUGCAUAGAGUCAAAACAAGAUCAAGCUAAGUGUCAUUUCAACAGGUCCAGCUCAGCCUGUGAUUUCUCUAGCACCAGAAAAGAUUACUGCUCUUUCAUUUACGUUCCAGAUAGAGAAGUUGGCUUGUAUUUGGGGCCACGUGGUUCUAAAAGCACAGGCCUUUAAACGCUAGAAUGAUUCCCGGAGAAGGAAGAUGCCCACAGUAUAAGAGGCACAUGAGGACAACAGAUGCGUAUGUCCUUCCGCACGUUCCCUCUGAGAUGCAUCUGCCUCGAGAGUGGACCGGCAGGGGAAAUUUCCUGUAUUGUCUCAUUGUUCUUGUU